CCCUUAGAUGUCCUGGGCCGCACGCGCGCUACACUGAACGGAUCAGCGCGUUUUCCCUUCCCGAGAGGGACGGGUAACCUGCUGAACCCCGUUCGUGGUAGGGAUCGGGGCUUGCAAUUAUUCCCCGUGAACCAGGAAUGCCCAGUAAGUGCAAGUCAUAAGCUUGCGUUGAUUACGUCCCUGCCCUUUGUACACACCGCCCGUCGCUACUACCGAUUGAAUGGUCCGGUGAAGCGUUCGGACCGUGGCCUUUGGACGGUUCGCCGUCUGUUGGCUGCGGGAAGUUCGUUAAACCUUAUCAUUUAGAGGAAGGAGAAGUCGUAACA
rnacentral:rRNA from 1 species